GCACGAGUUAUUGCUGCAACAAGCCCGUGAGUAUCGAAUGUUGGAGUCCCUGCCGGUGGGGAGGCCCAGGCGCAGAGCGAGGGGCCUCUGUAGAUGCAAAGGCCAGGCUGUGAGACCCUCCCAGGCUUCGUGCUUGGAGGAGGCGCCUCCCCUGGUGUCGAGGAGGCUGAGCGUGUGGUGCUGCCUGAGCCUGUGUCUCCGGCCAGCCGCUCCCAGCCUCAGAGAUGCUCAGAGCCGCCCAGCCUCAGAGGUGCUCAGGGCCGCCCAGCCUCAGAGGUGCUCAGGGCCGCCCAGCCUCAGAGGUGCUCAGGGCCGCCCAGCCUCAGAGGUGCUCAGGGCCGCCCAGCCUCAGAGGUGCUCAGGGCCGCCCAGCCUCAGAGGUGCUCAGUGCUGCCUGUCUGUUGGGCGAGUCACUGGGUGGUUCUGUCUGUAACAGCCGUCAGGCUCUUUGAAGAGUCAAAUGACCUGGUCUCUGCUGAGGCCAGGGGUGGGCUCCUGGCCAGGUGCCAGGCCUGCUGUGUCACUGAUUGUCCAGCUGACAGAAAGGAGGGGUCGUGACAAGACAGCAGUGGCAUCCCCCGAGCUCGUCCCCCUGUUUGGUGACGGGUGCCCUCAGUGCCCGGGCGGGUGGGCCAGGCGGGGCUCCGGGUGGCUCCUCCCUGCUGACCGUGUGAUGAGCUGCAGCCCGGGCCGCCUCCCGACUCACGCCAGCGGCACCCCCUGUGGGGAGCUGGGUCGGUCCUUCGUGGCCAGAACGUGUGCACCUGUAGGAAGCGGGAAGGGCGACGCUCGGGCGUCUCGGCCGGAUCUGCCUUCCAAGGCUCGUCUAACAGCGCCACGGGGGAGGCUGCCUGGGGACCCCGGAGUCGUGUGCAGCCUCAGUUUUGAACCCACCACCUGCUGACAGAAACUGAAUCUGGGAUUAUGAACACAGCUUCAAGGACAGGCCAGGUGAGCAGUGACCUGUGAGGCCGUCCCCAGCCAAGACACUAGCACGUGGACUUGGGCUCAUCUCCUGAGAUGGUGCUAUCCUCUCUGAGAAGAGGCCACCGUACUAUCAGACAACGUGGUGUGUCCUCAGGUAGCGUUUAGCCUGCUCUGGCUGGUGACUGGAGCCGUGACUCCAGGUAACGGGGAAGCUGGCUCACAGGCCUGAUCCCCUCGUGAGCCCCCUGGGGUCAGUGCCCACCCCGGACACCUGGCGGAGGGGCCUGCAGGUGCCCCUGAGGACCACCCAUCCUCAGAGCGGGCCUGCUUCCCGAACAGUUCUUUAUCUGACGCUUAGUGGAGAGCGAGCCUCCCGCUGGAGUUUCUGUUCGGAAGCCAAGAAUAGACUGUAGGCUGUUGCACCUGUAAGGCGGAUUCCAGGUGGUGAGUCUGGUCCCACUCUCAGACCCCACAGGCCGUGGCGCCCACCUUGGCAGCUCCAUCCCUGGUGGGGUGCUGUGGGAUUUGCUGGUGUUUGGUGCUCAGGGACCCUCAGACCUGGAGGCGGGCCCUCCCAAUCAGGGCAGGUGGGUACUGGCUGGGGACG
ensembl:lncRNA